rnacentral:tRNA from 1 species
AGGCAGGUAGCUGACGUUGGUACAAGCAGUCGCCUUAUUCACGACCGGACGUGGGUUCGAUUCCCAUACUGCCCACCA